rnacentral:rRNA from 1 species
GGAAUAUUGCGCAAUGGGCGAAAGCCUGACGCAGCGACGCCGCGUGGGUGAUGAAGGUUUUCGGAUUGUAAAGCCCUUUUCCAGGUGACGAGGCAGGACGGUAGCCUGGGAAUAACAGUCGGCCAACUACGUGCCAGCAGCCGCGGGAAAACGGAGGACCCGAGCGUUAUCCGGAGUUCCUGGGCGUAAAGAGCGCGCAGGCGGGGCGUUAAGUUUGCUAGGAAAGCUCCCGGCUAAACCGGGAGAGGCUGGCGGAUACUGGCGCUCUAGAGUAAGCGAGAGGGAUGUGGAAUUCCGCGUGUAGUGGUGAAAUGCGUAGAGAUGCGGAGGAACACCAGUGGCGAAGGCGGCAUCCUGGCGCUUAACUGACGCUGAGGCGCGACAGCAUGGGGAGCGAAC